rnacentral:misc_RNA from 1 species
CUCCUACAAUGCAUCACCAGCAAAAAUUUCUCUGUUAGCUAUAUGCUAUACUAAUUAAGGUGAUUAGUCUUUUGAUUAAUGAAAAUCAACUAAUUAAAUUAAUAAAUUUUAACUCAAUAAUAUUUGUAUCACUCCGAGUUUCAAAAUUAAAAGUCUUAAUUAAAGUAAUAAAACCAUUAACCUGUACUUUCAUGAGAUGUCUGG